UGGGGAAUCGUCUAAUGGUAGGACAGCAGGCUUUGAACCUGUCAAUCCUGGUUCGAGCCCAGGUUCCCCAGCCA
rnacentral:tRNA from 1 species